UUUUUAAAUGAUUUCCUAAACAAAGAAAUGUAACUGUACUGACUUUCUGAUGUUACUAAAUACUAGACCGUGAUAAUGGUGCAAGAUUAUGUUAUGUAGAGAUUAAGAAUGUGCUUUUAAGGCUGUACUUUUGUGUCUGAAGCAUCUUCUGAGCAGAGAUAUUAGUGCAUGUGCUAAAGUCGAGCAUCACAGUAAGCUUGAACGCAUCACCAUGUAAUCAGGUGAUACGGUGUAGUGUCUAAAGUUUGUACCAAGUCCAUUUUCUCAUUUUCAAAACGAUACCAAUAUUCUAGUACCAGUAGUACCGAUACCAAGUCACGAAGCCUGCUCAUCGCAAGCUUCAGUCACUAAGUUCAUUAAAUCGUUACAAGCAUGUCGGUGCGCUGUAGGACAGUUUAUGUCCCGUGGUUAAUGUGUAAAGAUCUGUGUUGUGUAUUUCAACACCACAUAAAAAGCAUCACCGGAUCGGAUAACCCGCCAGUUUGAACCCCUGAUCCAAUGCUGAUAUCGAUACUGUGAUGAGUAUGUCUUUUUAAAUAAUUGAACCACUAUCUGAGUUAUGGUUGCUCAUCAGUUUUUUUUUUUUUUUUUUUUUUUUUUUUUUUUUUUUUUUGUCCCACCACGACAAUGUAGAGUAUUUAUAAAUGUCCUGUUGAAGGAACGUUCUGGUAGCAGAUGUUACGAAUAAAGCUGUGUAGCAUGUCGGACCGGAUGGUGCUUAGCGUGUAGCAGUUGUGUUUCGCCUCACGAGCGUUCCCGGCGGCGUGUCGUUUUUCGCCCGGCGCAGUCGCCGACGUUUCGCUAUCCGGUCCUCUUUCACGAAGUCAGCUCGAAGCGCCAUCUCGAAACCCGUAGACCUUCCCCCCUUUUUCAGUGUUUCAGUGUAAAACGUGUGGAGCCAAAAGAGGUUAAAGUCCUUAGAAAGUGCCUUUCCUCAUGAUGGUGCUGAAGAAUCCGAAUUCAAGCGACAGAUCAAACCGUUUUCUUUAUCGUACCUUGCACACAUGCAGACGCAUGCACAAGCUUACAUUCACACAUUUUUCAUCUAAAGAACGAGGCUUGGUGAAGUCUCCGUGUAUAUUCAGUUAUAACGAUGAUAAUAUAUGCCAAGUAUAUAUAUUUAAAUAAAAUUAAAAACAACCAUAUAUAUGAUUGAGCUCUGGGGUUUGUGUCCGGACCAGCGGGGGGGGUUGGUACCCAGCGUGACACGGAGAGAGAAGCCUAGCACAGCACUUUAAAGACUGCCACCCAAACAGGAAGUAAAGACUGAUUUUUGCUUUCUGAUUUAUUUAUUUAUUUUUUUAAUCUUCUAAGCACGUUAGGCAUGUGCCGGACAAAAUAUCCUCACUAUCCCAGCAUCCCGUUUGGACGGACGUUGCCUGGACAGGCGGCUUUUCGGGGCAAUGUUUGCAUUUUGAAGGUAGUGCAGUUUCACUGCUCAUUAUUAAAAUUCUAAUGAGUGGAAAUCCGCCCCGCCCCCAGGCGGAACGAGACUGCUCAGCAGCUCCUUAUAAGGAACUCGCAAGGCAUCGUGUAGUUUCAAUGACAUUCGCGACGUCUACCCGAGACCGCUCGAUUACAUUCGAUAAGUCUGUGACGAAACUUUAGGCUGUUCUUAUCAGGCUCCCGGCAGGUGUACGUGGCAGUGCCAGCUGUCUGUCAUCGCAGGGACUUUAAGCUUCUGCUCACUCCCUCUACAUCCAUGCUGAACGAGGUCACCUGAGCAAGGACCGUGAUUUAUGAGGAAGCAGCCAUGGGUGGACUGAUAAAGCACUUCGUUUGGAGAAGGAGCAUCUCGGACAAGUAAACACAACCCAUUCCAGGUAUUCAUCUACAUCAGAUGUGUUCGGAGUUCUGGACUGGAUCCGUGGUUUCAGAGAUGAGGGAGCAUUUUCAAAAUCUCACCAAAUGCUUGUAACAGGAUGCUGGCCAGGAAACAGGGGGAUCCCAGGUCCAUGCUAGCUGAAAAACAGAAAGAAUCACUAUUUCCGUCACCACCCGCAGCUUCAUUCCUGUGUGUGUGUGUGUGUGUCUCUAGGUGUGUCCAUGAGAAUACUCCUCAUUGUUGUUUUCAGUGCAUGACAAAGAUUGUAUAAUUUGGAUUUUUGCUUCAUGACUACUGUCUGGGGCACAUGGUGGCACAUUUGCCACCAUGGGGUUCGAAUCCUGCUUCUGCUGCUACCCUGUGUGUGCGGAGUUUGCGUGUUCUCUCCGGGUACUCCGGUGGAAUAUGAAUGUGUGUGUGAUUUGUGCCCUGCGAUGGAUUGGCACCCUGUCCAGGGUGUACCCUGCUUUGUGCCCCAUGCUCCCAGGUUCCCCGUGACCCAGUAGGAUAAGCAGUAUAGAAGACGGAUGGAUGGAUGAUCUGCUAGACCUGCCAACUUGCCAAUUUUGGGGAACAAGGUGGGGGGCACCAUGGAGAGUGCCGGUCCAUCGCAGGACACAAUCACACACACAUUCGUACACUACAGACACUUUUGGACAAUCAGUCUACAGUGCAUGUCUUUGGACUGGG
ensembl:lncRNA